UAUUCAACCCCCCACCCCUCUUUCUAGACUCACAUCAUAUCAACCAGGACCAACAAGCUCUGAUAUUUGUUGUUGUUGUUUUGGUGCAAUCAGUUGAAUAUUACGGACUUAGGGCUUUUGCGCAAGUUUAUUUCAUGCUUACAUAAUCUCUAGCCCCUGUGGAUGAAAUCGAAAUUUAGUUUUGUGAGAAGAAAAAGUAUACUUCAAAAAAUGAACCUGAGCUGAAUGGGGUCGCAAUGCUAAAACUGCUCUGUUUGAUGGUAUUGAGGAAGGUGGCAUUAGGGCUUCAUUAUCAUACUCUUCUCAUGAGAUUGAUGAACAUGAGAAUGAAAAAGCACUUGAAGGACUGCAAGAUAGAGUCAAUCUACUGAAAAGAGUUAGUUGAGAUGCUGGAUGGUUACCCGAAGAAAGAAAAUGAAAUUGAUAGGAUGAAGAAAGAAAAUGAGAGCAUGUAGAUUGAGCUCAGGUAUAUAUAUUUGUUUGUAUAGUCCACUAUAUUAUGAUAUGUUUAUUGAUUUUUUGUUGGAUUUAAUUGUGCAUUACUUGCCUUUAGAGCAGUCUGUUAACUGUACCAGCUGCAGGAAAAUUAUUGAAACAGUCUCCUACUAGUUGAAGAUUGUCAACAUGUCAAUUCAGUUGCCAGUCUUGGAGAUUGAAUCAGAAGUUAAAUUCUAGAAUGCUUUAAGUUAAAUUCCAGAAUGUUUUAAAUUUUCAAUUGUAUAUUCAUGAAUGAAUUAUCUUCAUAAACUAUUCCAAAAUGUUUUAAA